AGUACCCAAUCAGACCAGCCCAUUUGAAUUACGACAAAAUUGAACACUUAGCAGCAAGAGUCAAACCACAGCAGAAGAAGAAAGAUGGCUGAACUGUGGAUACAACCAGAUGUAGAGGAAGAGGAAGAUUUUAUUUUUUUCAAGAAAAGUAUAGCUGAUUUGGAAGAAGAGUAGGUUUAUAAAUAAUGUUUUGUUUGAUAUUAUUGUACAAUAUUGAAAAAAUAGGAAUAGAGGGAAACUAAAAGGUAAACAAGCAAAUUUAAAGGUGUAGGUUCAUUAAGGCCCCUUUUUGGCCCCAAAAUAUAGUUUUACAAAAUUGUGAAAAUGUUAUCUUUUAGCUAUUGACUGGAAAGUACAAAAACUAAUUGAAUCAAUUGAAAUAGACACUUAAGUGUUUAAAAAGUGUCCAAUAUCUUUCGUUAGAUGAACCUCGGCCCUUACCAGACCUUCUACCUUACAGAUUGCCUUUGUUUCACAUAAACACACUGGAAAAGCUGUAUUUCAAAACUAAAUAAUGAUUUGGUUCCAGAAAAAAACAAAAGCACAUUUAUAUAUAAGACCAUGCCAAAUGAAAAUCUUGUUUGGGAUUCCCUGCUUGUUGAAAAAAGUAAUAAAAAAAAAUAAACUUGCAUACAAUGAUUGUCUAACGCAUUCUGAACUUUUAAUUUAAUUUUUUUAAGUUAAUUGUGCAUUUGACACAGAUCAAGAGCUACAUUUUAACAAUGUCUUCAAGAUUAUCAGUUAUCUGAGCCAACAUAUUACUGCAGGAUAGUUGUUAUACAUUUAGAGUUCUUAUUUACAGUAAUAUGAAAAUGUAUAGGAUAGUCGUUAUACAUUUAGAGUUCUUUUUUACAGUAAUAUGAAAAUGUAUAGGAUAGUCGUUGUACAUUUAGAGUUCUUUUUUACAGUAAUAUGUUUUAUAGUCCGCUAAAAUCAACGUAACAACUAACACAUAAUAUUAACGAUGCAGGCCACAUAUGUGACAGUUUAUGUUUCAAAAUCAAUCUUAUCAAAAGAUACAUGUAUAACAUUUGCAAACACUUCAAUUAAAGGUACCAAUUAUGAAUUUAGAUAAUAUACAGCAGUGUUCUCCCUAGAAAUUUUGGAUAGCAUCACAUUUUGUGUAAAAAAAAUUAACGAUUUCUUUUUAAUGU